AGGGGUAUGGUGUCAACGGCAGCAUAACCGUCUCCAAAACGGUUGGUUCAGGUUCAAAUCCUGAUACCCCUG
rnacentral:tRNA from 1 species